ensembl:antisense Grip1os1 uncharacterized LOC110304061
ACUAAUCUUGGACCCAGGCUCCUGUAAUGAGGCUGCCCUCAUUGAACUGAAUGUCCACCGAGCUACAGUCGAGUGGGGCUCGCCGUGGUUGGUUCACUAUCUGCAGGGAGGAUGGAGCCAUCGGCAUUAAAGUGGAUGCUGCUCAUGACCAAAGCCGUUGGAGACCCGGUGCAGGAGGGGCAAACUGAUGCUUCCCAACAGACCUUGACGCGGCUUUCUGAAAAUAAGCAGCAAUGACCAUUCGCCUUUCAGAAAACUCUAAGGACAAAGACAGGCGCGCAAGCUUUCAGUUAACUCUCACUGCAUUGGUGGGAGAGGGAAAAUAAUAUAUAAGACAGGAAAUGAGUAAGAAGAACAGGAUCCCUGGGACAAGAGCAAUGGCAAGGGGCUGGCAUCAGGAAGUGAACACUGAAGCAGCUCGGAGGGAGAGCAUGAGCUCUGACAGAUUAAGAGCUGAGCAGCUCUGGAACUCUGCUUUGCCACCUUAGUCAGUUCCUCUUCACACAGGUCUGCAAAGGAGACACUCAUGGGACACAGAGAUGGACGUAUCCAUAGCAACAGGGCUUGCUUCUCCUAAAAGACCUCAGACCUGCUCAUGAUCCAGCCACUGUCAGCUCUGGAGGAGCCAGCCCAGACUAGAGCCAAUGUCAGUUUUGUCCAGUGCUCUUCAGCUUGAUGAUUUCAUAUAACGCACUGCUGAGUAUUGCACCUGAUGGCUGAUGGACGGAUGCUGCCCCGAAGGAGGAAAGCAUUUCCAACACCAAAUUCCUGUUCACAAGAGGGAGGCAAGGCAGGCACGCCGCUAUGCUCAGCCUAACCUGUUUUAUAAAAGGAAAAUCUCAGGCCACUAGGGAAAAAAUUGGUCCAAGCCCUCUUCCACCAAAGCCUCUCAGAGACGAGUCAGAAGCUCGGCAAGAAAUCUCUCCCAUACAGCCAACUCCAUCUCAACACGAGUAAGAACGGCAACCCAUGACCAGGAUCUUGUUGCGGAGUUCUCCUGUUCCCAUGAGGCCUCCCUACGUGUGUGCCUCCUGCCCUAGCAAGGGAUCAAAGCUUAAGUGAAUAACACAUUUUGUGAAGCGU